AUAAACAUUUUAGUUUCAUUUUGUUUUGUAAUUUAUCACUUAAGCAGAUAAGAUCAUCCAGAUAUCAACAGAAUAUCAUGCCAUUAAACUGAAAUGUAAAUAAUUUAAAUUAAAAUGAAUUACAUAGGAUUAUUUAAUUCCAUUGUUGCAUUGUGUACGAUUCCUUAUUUUUAUUCUGUACUAGAGAAGCAAUCCUCAAAUGGGCUUUUAGUAUCAAGAAUGAGAAACAUUUGUGUAUAGAUUUCCACCAAGGCAAUCGGGUUUUCAGUGUGAGAAGGGUUUUAUGUUAUUUUUAAUUCUCUGCUUCUACAUAUAAGUGCGAUAAGUAAAGACAGAUUCUUGCAUUAUCUUUCUUCACUUCAGUCAUCUGUGCUGCAUGCAUUCUGCGUGGAUGAGUCAGAAAGGAAGAAUUUACUGUUAGCAAAAAGGCAGACUGUGCAUCAGAGUUUAGCAGUUCCUGCAGGAACCUGUGUAGGAAGAAACUUGAAUUUCUGCAUCUGGUUUUUCCCUGGUUUUUUUGUCAUUGCCACUUUCAUCACUCAUACCCCUCACUCCAGGCAGCUUUUCCCAACCUCCUUCUGCCUGCAUUGUAUUUGUUGUCUAACGGGUGGGCAAACGAAUCUCUAGGGCUUUGUGCUACCUCUAGGCUGCUCUUAAUUCUGUUUUUUUUCUGCUGAUAAAUCUACAAGUGAGAACUUCUGAGGUACAGGAAGUUUGAAGAAGCAAACUGAAAGGUCCCUGGCAGGGGCUUUCCACGAGUCUGGAAAGCUUUUCAAUGACCGAAAAACUUCUAGAAGUUGCAGUAGAAUUUGAAGGUGUAAUAUUUUCAUUUUCAGUUAUUGUGAAAAAUUCACUGGUACACAACUUUUAGAAAUGUCAGUUUCAGUGGAAGAUCCUUUCUGGUGUGUGACAUGGCCUGCAAAAAAAUUUCUUUCCUAAGCAAAAGAAGCUGAUAAAAUAUUAAUUUCUUUUAUUGUUAAGAACCUGGACAGAUUAACAGUCAAUAUACUGUUAAAAUUUAAUCUCUUGCAACAACGUCAUUCCACCCCCAACCUGGAAGUAGUAGGGAAAAAAAGUACCUCUGCCAGUGUGUGAGGAUAUGAAAAUGUAAUGAUUGCAAAUAUUACUAGUCUGCUAGUUAUCUGAGCUAUGCAUCUUCAUACUACAUAGAGAGAGACUCCACCGUUCAAAAAACAUUAUAUUCCUAUGCAACAUGAAGAAUCACUGACACAAUAAAAUCAAAACUUUAGGUGCAAUAUUAAAUUGUGUAUUUUCCACAGGAAUAUUAGGAGUUCAUUUUAAACUUUUUCUAUUGAAGUGUCCAUUAAACUGAUAACUUUUUACAGAAACUGCCAUCUUAGAAUUAUCCUGUUGAGUGGGUGUUGGUGUUUGUAACAAUAACGUUGUUUUCAUAAUAUGUGAUGGCAGAUUAGCACGCUUCUCUGCAGUGUUGUUAACAGUUGUAAUUAAGGAAUAAACAGUAAAGGGUGUCAGUCCGAUGACAAUUUCAUCUAUAGUGUCACAAUACAAAAUGUCACAAAAUAUUAGAACUGUUAUAUAACUACAAAAAUAUCAAAUUAGGCUUUCAUCUUACAAGCUGAGAGCUUAAAAAAAACUUGGCAUAGAGACCAUUGCAAUUUUAUACCUACUCAGUGUUCUGUCACAAAGACAACUUGGUAAUAUUUUCUUCUGUAAACUCACAAUGUGAUUCUCAGUCUGAUUUAGUGGGAAUGUGUAUGGAUCUUACAGUUGUAUAGCUCACGUUUAAAAAGCAAAUAAUUGGAACCAUUUGAGCACACAAGAAUGGAAAACCUAUUCUAGAUGAUACUCAGAAUGAAGGGAUGGAUGAGCAGUUACUAACAAUGGGACUCAUCCUGUUCUUUGCAUCCAAAGGGAAAUCACUUCAACAAAAAUCUGGGCCCCUAAAUACUUUAUACAUGGAAUAAUCCGAAUCUUUAUCUCUUCUGACUCUGCCUAACCACUGGGACACGAUGCAGGUUCUCACUCUCCUUGCCCUGGUGCUUUCCCCUGGAAGGAGAUCUGGCCGUGUGGACCUGGAGUGCAUGGCAGCUCCAUGGGUGAGAGUUUGGCAAUGUGCAUGAAAGGCACCUGCAAGCAGGGUUAGAGAGCUUACCCUGCUGCACUUAGGUGCUCACAUAGCAUGCCUGAGAGUAAAAUGAAAUUAUCUUCAAGGAAGGAAUUUAAUUUUAUUUCCUGCAGCAUAACUUUAGAAGCAAUAGGGCAACUAGUUCAAGGAAAACUAUGUAGGAACAUGUCCCAGAAAAUAACAACUGGAUGAAGAGAACCAUUUAAAGCAGGAAUAUGUGUAGGUGACUGUUCUCAGAGACAAGGACCUUCAUGUUGGCCUGUGGUUUGAAACAAAUAAAUGGAAUUGCCUAUGACUGUGAAAUAGCACAGUAAUAGGGACAGGGGCAAGUGUCUGCUGAGUUGGGCCAUGCAGUGGCAAGGAACCAUAAUUAUAUGGGAUCUCCUGUUCUACUUACAUUUGUUGAGUUUAAUUUGCCAUGGCUGGGCUAGCUUGAUACUUGCCUUUUUAUAGAUACAGAUUUGAGAAAGCAAAUAUAAAAUUUUGGUGUGCUUUAAAAAAAUUUAAGAAUCUCCCUAAGUGAUUUGUACUGAUAUACCUAUGAGAUCUUGAAUGGGUAUUCUUCACCAGAUCAAGGCAGUCACUUCAAACAUAUUGAUUCUAUGUAGUUAUACCCUAUCUUAUCCCAAGCAUUUCUAUAUAUAAAAGAAAAUAUAAAAUAUAGGAAUUACAUCAUAUAUAUCUGUUGUAAUUUCCUACUCAUUGUGAGUAAAUUUUUUCUCAAAAUAAAAACAAACUCACCACGUCCACCCAAAAGAACAAAAAAACCAAAGGCAAACAAAAAAAAAAAGCCAAAAAAAGAAAACAAAAACACACCCCCCCCACCAAAAAACUUCUUAUUCUAUAGUCUUGACUUGCUGCUUGCCCUUUUGUGUUCCAAUAUAUGUAUACAUAAGGUGCAGCGGUCCUCAGGGCCUGUUGCUUUUCUAUUAGGUGGGGAACAGCAACUGAGUAAAGAGCAGUGAGAAAAGGUCAUCUUGUUUGUAAGUUAAUAUUGUAGUAUCUUGCAAGAAGAAAUAAUUAAUCAUACUUUUCUAGUUUAAUGCACAGAUGAGUAACCCCAAUACUAAUCCAGGAGCACAGCCUGUUUACCCAUCUUGUCACCUCUACCAUCACAUUCUCAAUCUUUUUACUUUCUCAGUUAUUCUGGCUGUGGGGGCAGGAGCAGAAGGCAAGGCAUGUUACUUUUUCCUAACAUAAGAAAUUUCUUACUCUGCAGAAUCUUCCACAAGCCUAUUAAUUUAAUUUGAGAGUAUAUUGAAAUAGUAAGUUGGUUUACAUGCAUAUCUGACACUAUGGUAUCCUCUUGAUUGUAUUUAUUCAGGAUCAUGUUUUCAUAGAAGUUGGGAGCUAAUUUUUAGGCUGAGCUUAUAGUUCUUAAUUUCUGUCUUUUUCGUUCACAUAGACCAGGUUGGGGAUGUAGUUGCUCAAUUUGAGCUUGUUGGUACUGAAAAAUAAGAAAACCAAAUUUAAAAGGGAAUGUACUUUUAGAGGUUAUAUCUGAAAGAAAACAUUAUUUACUCCAUAAUGGUAAUUUUCAUAAUAUUUUAAUACUUGUGUUCAGAUACAACUUGACCUUAAAUAUCACCCCAAAUGCAAGCUGUUUUAACAUAUUUGUAAUGCUAAGGUCUUCAUUACUGUGAUAUUCUGUUUGCUCAAGGAUUAUAAUCCAUGGAUAUACUGUGUUAUAGUUGAAAUAAAGCUUUGAUCAGUGUUGCGUUCCAUG